GUCAAGAGGGAAACAGCCCAGACCAUCAGCUAAGGUCCCAAAGUGCAUGCUAAGUGGAAAAGGAAGUGGAGACGUGCAGACAACUAGGAGGUUGGCUCAGAAGCAGCCAUCCUUCAAAGAGUGCGUAACAGCUCACUAGUCGAAUGACUCUGCGCCGAUAAUUUACCGGGGCUAAGCAUGACACCGAAGCUAUGGACAGGAAUGUGGUAGGGGAGCAUUGCAUGCAGCGGAGAAGCAUGACCGAGAGGGCAUGUGGAGCGCAUGGAAGAGAGAAUGCCGGCGUGAGUAGCGGCACGUGGGUGAGAAUCCCACGCACCGAUGGCCCAAGGUCUCCAGAGGAAGGCUCGUCCUCUCUGGGAUAGUCGGGACCUAAGGCGAGGCCGAAAGGCGUAGCCGAUGGACGACGGGUGGAUAUUCCCGUACCCGAUGUGUGGCGAUGGAGUGACGGAGAAGGCUCAGGCAACCAGCUGCUGGAAUAGCUGGGGCAAGCGAGAUACCUGCGCACCAGGGAAAUCCGGUGCGCAUAAGGGGAAGGCGCGAUGCAUACGGAAAGCUUCGGCAAGUACGGAAAAGCUGAGAGCAGGCUUCCAGGAAAAGCUUCUAGCACAACACACAUCGGCCCGUACCGAAAAUGGACACACAUGGGCAAGGAGAGAAUCCUGAGGUGAGCGAGAGAACUAUAGCUAAGGAACUCUGCAAAAUGACCCCGUAACCUAGGGAGAAGGGGUGCUCCAGAAAUGGAGCCGCAGUAAAACGGCCCAAGCGACUGUUUACCAAAAACACAGCUCUCUGCGAAGGCGCAAGCCGAAGUAUAGGGGGUGACGCCUGCCCGGUGCUGGAAGGUCAAGGGGAGCUGUCAGCGCAAGCGAAGCAGCGAGCCGAAGCCCCAGUAAACGGCGGCCGUAACUAUAACGGUCCUAAGGUAGCGAAAUUCCUUGUCGGGCAAGUUCCGACCCGCACGAAAGGCGUAACGAUUUGGGCGCUGUCUCAGCUGUAGACUCGGUGAAGUCUUAGUACCUGUGAAGAUGCAGGUUGCCCGCGACUAGACGGAAAGACCCCAUGGAGCUUCACUGCAGGUUGACAUUGGGCUUGGAUGCAUGAUGUACAGGAUAGGUGGGAGGCUGUGAGCCGUGCGCGCCAGCGUACGGGGAGCCGCUGUUGGGAUACCACCCUUCAUGCAUCUAGGUCCUAACCGGAGGCAACGGGCCACGGGACAGUGUCAGUCGGGCAGUUUGACUGGGGCGGUCGCCUCCCAAAGAGUAACGGAGGCGCCCAAAGAUACCCUCAGCAUGGAUGGAAACCAUGCAUAGAGUGCAAAGGCAUAAGGGUGUCUGACUGCGAGACAUACAG
rnacentral:rRNA from 1 species